GUAGGGAAUCUUCCACAAUGGACGCAAGUCUGAUGGAGCAACGCCGCGUGUGUGAAGAAGGUCUUCGGAUCGUAAAACACUGUUGUUAGAGAAGAACACGGGGUAAAGUAACUGUUAUCCCGCUGACGGUAUCUAACCAGCAAGUCACGGCUAACUACGUGCCAGCAGCCGCGGUAAUACGUAGGUGGCAAGCGUUGUCCGGAUUUAUUGGGCGUAAAGGGAACGCAGGCGGUCUGUUAAGUCUGAUGUGAAAGCCUUCGGCUUAACCGAAGAAGUGCAUUGGAAACUGGCAGACUUGAGUGCAGAAGAGGAGAGUGGAACUCCAUGUGUAGCGGUGAAAUGCGUAGAUAUAUGGAAGAACACCAGUGGCGAAAGCGGCUCUCUGGUCUGUAACUGACGCUGAGGUUCGAAAGCGUGGGGAGCGAACAGGAUUAGAUACCCCAGUAGUCC
rnacentral:rRNA from 1 species